rnacentral:misc_RNA from 1 species
ACGAGUUGCAAAACUCCCUAAACCAUUGUGAACCUACCUGUACUGUUCCUUCGGCGGGCGGCGUCAAGCCCUAACCCGUCUCCCUUUACGGGGGAUGGACCCGCCGGAGGCUCCUAAACUCUUAACUUUUGUUGGCAUCUCUGAGUAAAUCAAAAUAAGUCA